AGCAAGAACAUCCGUAAUAUAUGCCAAUUUUAUUCGAACAGGAAGCACUGGUACCACAGAGAUCGGUUGAAUAUCCCCCAGUAGAGUUUCUUUGAGACCAAUCUAUGCAAGUCCCGUCACUGAUCCCCCACUCCAACACAACCGGAACAUAAUCCAAGACCCUAUAUCGAUCUAUCAAACUGGAUUGGAACCAUUCUUUGUCAACCAUAAAGGCAACCUUGCAUUCCUUAUGAUCCUGAGAAGCAGAGAUUCUU
rnacentral:misc_RNA from 1 species